rnacentral:rRNA from 1 species
AGAGUUUGAUCCUGGCUCAGGAUGAACGCUGGCGGCGUGCUUAACACAUGCAAGUCGAACGAAGCACUGAAAGCAGAUUACUUCGGUAGGAAGCUAUCUUUGACUGAGUGGCGGACGGGUGAGUAACGCGUGGGUAACCUGCCUCAUACAGGGGGAUAACAGUUAGAAAUGACUGCUAAUACCGCAUAAGCGCACGGGACUGCAUGGUCCAGUGUGAAAAACUCCGGUGGUAUGAGAUGGACCCGCGUCUGAUUAGCUAGUUGGUGGGGUAAGGGCUCACCAAGGCGACGAUCAGUAGCCGGCCUGAGAGGGUGACCGGCCACAUUGGGACUGAGACACGGCCCAAACUCCUACGGGAGGCAGCAGUGGGGAAUAUUGCACAAUGGGGGAAACCCUGAUGCAGCGACGCCGCGUGAAGGAAGAAGUAUUUCGGUAUGUAAACUUCUAUCAGCAGGGAAGAAAAUGACGGUACCUGACUAAGAAGCCCCGGCUAACUACGUG